GUCGAGAAUCUUCCGCAAUGGGCGAAAGCCUGACGGAGCAAUGCCGCGUGCAGGAUGAAGGCCUUCGGGUCGUAAACUGCUGUCACCGGGGAUGAAUAAUGACAGUACCCGGGGAGGAAGUCACGGCUAACUACGUGCCAGCAGCCGCGGUAAUACGUAGGUGACGAGCGUUGUUCGGAAUUAUUGGGCGUAAAGGGUUCGUAGGAUGUUUAUUAAGAUUGGUGUGAAAUCCCAAGGCUCAACCUUGGAACUGCAUUGAUUACUGAUGAACUAGAGUAUCGUAGAGGAAAGCGGAAUUCCAGGUGUAGCGGUGGAAUGCGUAGAUAUCUGGAAGAACACCGACAGCGAAGGCAGCUUUCUGGGCGAUAACUGACUCUGAGGAACGAAAGCAUGGGGAGCAAACAGGAUUAGAAACCCCAGUAGUCC
rnacentral:rRNA from 1 species